GUUUAGACCAAGUCUGGUGAUAAGCAUCCGGACGUAAAGCAUGAAUUUUGCCGUGGUGAGAAUGGUAUCGUGUAACAACAGUAGGGGUCUUGAGGGGUGUGUAGGUUUCGUGGCUAAGAAAGCGUCCAGCGGUUUUACCGGGCACCAAUUGUUACCAGUGGGGUUGUAGUUUAUGUGAACUGGUUCCCCCAUCUGACUUGUCUUAGGUAGGGUCAGGACGUAGUAGUCUGUGUGUUUCGUGAGAUAUGACAUGAGGAGGCACCCUUGGUUAUGUUGUUGGCCACUAAUGGUGAACUCUCGUGGCCUAAGAAAACCAUAAAAAGCUAGAUACAUGGCGGCUUUAAUAACCGCGUUUGUAUUGGGUUCAAAUGGUGCCUGGUCGAGUAGGUUGGACAAUGAC